CGUAGUGGCGGGACGGGUGAGUAACGCAUGGUAACCGUGCCUUACACAGGGGAGUAACACCUGGAAACAAGGUGCUAAUACCGCAUAAGCGCACAGGGCCGCAUGGCCCGGUGUGAAAAACUCCGGUGGUGUAAGAUGGACCCGCGUCUGAUUAGCUUGUUGGCGGGGGUAGAGGCCCACCAAGGCGACGAUCAGUAGCCGGCCUGAGAGGGUGGACGGCCACAUUGGGACUGAGACACGGCCCAAACUCCUACGGAAGGCAGCAG
rnacentral:rRNA from 1 species